GGCUGCCGCGCACUCCACAGCAUGCGGGGCGGUACGAAAGAAAAGGAGGCAUUUCAUCCCGCACGGCUUGCGGUGCGGCAGUGUGGAGACCUGCCGUAAUGCACGGGGCAGCUUGUCUGCGCGUGUGAGGUGAACGGAGCGGAGGCUCUGCCGCCAAAGCCGGGAACAUGGCA
rnacentral:ncRNA from 1 species